GUGAAUCAUCGAAUUUUUGAACGCAAAUUGCGCUUCCUGGCAUCCCGGGAAGUAUGCCUGUUUGAGGGUCAGUAUUAAUAAAAAAUCGGUUUAGUUACAAAUUGUGACGUUUCCGGAGUUUGGGCUAUCUUAACAUUUUUGGUUAAGAGGCUUAAAGUUGACCUUUUUUGCGCAUUUUUAAAGGACAUAAAUUUUUUUUAAUCGUCCUUUUCUAAUGCCAAAAUCCUUUUAAAAUCG
rnacentral:misc_RNA from 1 species